ensembl:snRNA U6 U6 spliceosomal RNA
UUGCUUCAGCAGCAUAUAUACUAAAAUUGGAAUGAUACAGAGAAGAUUAGCAUAGCUCCUUCCUAAGGAUGGCUCCCAAAGACUCUAAGCUAAGGUUG